rnacentral:rRNA from 1 species
UACGGAGGGGGCUAGCGUUGUUCGGAAUUACUGGGCGUAAAGCGCACGUAGGCGGCUUUGUAAGUUAGAGGUGAAAUCCCUCGGCUUAACCGAGGAACUGCCGUCCAAACUGCUUCGCUUGAGACCGGGAGAGGUGAGUGGAAUUCCCAGUGUAGCGGUGAAAUGCGUAGAUAUUGGGAGGAACACCAGUGGCGAAGGCGGCUCACUGGACCGGUACUGACGCUGAUGCGCGAAAGCGUGGGGAGCAAACGGG